rnacentral:rRNA from 1 species
UACAGAGGGGGCAAGCGUUGUUCGGAAUUACUGGGCGUAAAGGGCGCGUAGGCGGCCUGUUAAGUCGGACGUGAAAUCCCUCGGCUCAACCGGGGAACUGCGUCUGAUACUGGCGGGCUUGAAUUCGGGAGAGGGAUGUGGAAUUCCAGGUGUAGCGGUGAAAUGCGUAGAUAUCUGGAGGAAUACCGGUGGCGAAGGCGGCAUCCUGGACCAUUUACUGACGCUGAGGCGCGAAAGCUAGGGGAGCAAACGGG